rnacentral:rRNA from 1 species
CCUACGGGUGGCAGCAGUGGGGAAUAUUGCACAAUGGGGGAAACCCUGAUGCAGCGACGCCGCGUGAGUGAAGAAGUAUCUCGGUACGUAAAGCUCUAUCAGCAGGGAAGAAAAUGACGGUACCUGACUAAGAAGCCCCGGCUAACUACGUGCCAGCAGCCGCGGUAAUACGUAGGGGGCAAGCGUUAUCCGGAUGUACUGGGUGUAAAGGGAGCGUAGACGGCAGCACAAGUCUGGAGUGAAAUCCCGGGGCUUAACCCCGGAACUGCUUUGGAAACUGGGCGGCUGGAGUGCAGGAGGGGAGAGCGGAAUUCCUAGUGUAGCAGUGAAAUGCGUAGAUAUUAGGAGGAACACCAGUGGCGAAGGCGACUUACUGGACUGUAACUGACGUUGAGGCUCGAAAGCGUGGGGAGCAAACAGGAUUAGAUACCCCAGUAGUC